GAAAGGAUGUUGCCUCUCUAGGCCUAAGCUUGCCUCAGUAUCCCUACAGCACGGUUGCCAUAACAACUAGCAAUCCUAGAGAGUCUCCGCUUCCUCCCAGGAAAGGCAUGAAGAGCUACUUUGAGCCCAGUCCCCAGCUUUCAUCAGUUCCUGGAAGCCCUGCCCAACCAAGCGAGUGGAACGCAGGGCGUCUUCACCCUGCGCCUUUCAUCCUCCACGGAUCUCUAAGCACCAACUGGUUCAUCACCCCAAUGACGCGGACCCUUUUAUGAGGCUGCUUUCAUGUCGGCCGCUUGGGAGUGCCAUCUCGGCUUUAAGCCUAGAAAGGAUGACAUGGCGCCCCAGCCCCUGCCCCGGAGUUUAUAAGGGGUGAGGUCCCUUUUCCUUAGUGUCUCCCGUACUCCUACUUCUCAUAAACUCUACCCAACACGCUUGUCUGACCAAAUGUUGUGUGGAUUGGGAAGACAGCUUAAUCAUCUUUGUAGUACCACUACAACACACAACAGUGUUUAGUUGUAUUAAAUUGGGGCCCUCUGGGGUUAAAUGUGCGGAGGAGACGACCUUGAGAUUGUAAUUUAAAGCCAAAAGGACCGAAAAUAAGACAAUGGAAUUUAAACAUCGUCUAUCUCACUUCCCUUACGGAAAGCUGUGUGUCAAAGUCUGGAACCUUAUUUGUAGGUCCUUAUCAUUACUGACGAAGUGGAAACACAGGGCCCACUGGAUAGAGAAUGAAAGAAAGCUGGGCCUCGGUGGGUUGGAAUGCUGUGACCCUUAAUACAGCUCCUCUGUCGUGGUUAUCCCCAGCCAUAGAAUUAGUGUUGCUACUUCAUAACUGUAUCUUUGUUACUGUUACAAAUCGUAAUGUAAAUAUUUUUGAAGAUAGAGGUUUGCCAAAAGGGCAUGAUCCACAGGUUGAGAACCACUGCCUUAAUUAAUAAAUUGAUUGAACGUGCUUUCAACCACUUCUCAACAACAGGGGGAAAAAAGCAAAUUUUUAUUCCUUCCUGAAUUCCUUAUGUUGGAUUCCAUCUGUUCAUCUGUUCAACUGGUCACCACAUGAAACAUGGGGUAAAUCAUACAGGCCUCAGAAUUGCCCUUGGCUUGCAACCUUGUCAUCAGUGCUUUAUGUCCUCACGACACAUGUUCCCCAAAUCUCCUUUUUGUACCAAAGUCGUCACAUUAAAAGCAAAUAAAUAAACUCAGAGACUUCAAAUGGUCUCCUAACUGAU